rnacentral:rRNA from 1 species
GACGAACGCUGGCGGCGUGCUUAACACAUGCAAGUCGAGCGGUAAGGCCCUUUCGGGGGUACACGAGCGGCGAACGGGUGAGUAACACGUGGGUGACCUGCCCUUAGCUCUGGGAUAAGCCUGGGAAACUGGGUCUAAUACCGGAUAUGACUCCAUGACGCAUGUUGUGGGGUGGAAAGCCUUGUGCGGCUAGGGAUGGGCCCGCGGCCUAUCAGCUUGUUGGUGGGGUGAU